GCUUAUUUAGUUUAAUUUUUUUGAAUAAUAUUUUGAAAAGAUAUAGGUUUUUUUAAGCG
rnacentral:tRNA from 1 species